rnacentral:rRNA from 1 species
GAUGAACGCUAGCUACAGGCUUAACACAUGCAAGUCGAGGGACCGGCGCGCGGGUGAGUAACACGUAUCCAACCUGCCCUUUACUCGGGGAUAGCCUUUCGAAAGAAAGAUUAAUACCCGACAUAAAGGAUGGGGAUGCGUUCCAUUAGGUUGUUGGUGAGGUAACGGCUCACCAAGCCUUCGAUGGAUAGGGGUUCUGAGAGGAAGGCACCCCGCAUUGGAACUGGGACACGGACCAAACUCGUAGGGGAGGCAGGAGUGAGGAAGAUUGUUCAAUGGGCGCUAGCCUAAACCAGCCAAGUAGGGUGAAGGAUGAAGGCUUAUGGGUCGUAAACUUCUUGUAUAUAAGAAUAUGUAUUAGAUGAAUAAGGAUCGGCUAACUACGUGCCAGCAGCCGCGGUAAUAC